rnacentral:rRNA from 1 species
CCUACGUGAGGCUGCAGUGGGGAAUAUUGCGCAAUGGGCGAAAGCCUGACGCAGCGACGCCGCGUGAGGGAUGAAGGUCUUCGGAUCGUAAACCUCUGUCAGCAGGGAAGAACGGUCACUGUGCUAAUCAGCAGUGAAUUGACGGUACCUGCAAAGGAAGCACCGGCUAACUCCGGGCCAGCAGCCGCGGUGAUACGGAGGGUGCGAGCGGUAAUCGGAAUUACUGGGCGUAAAGCGCUCGUAGGCGGUAUGUCAAGUCAAGGGUGAAAUCCCCGCGCUCAACGUGGGAACUGCCUUUGAAACGGGCAAACUGGAGUGUGGGAGAGGAGAGUGGAAUUCCAGGUGUAGGAGUGAAAUGCGUAGAUAUCUGGAGGAACAUCAGUGGCGAAGGCGACUAUCUGGCACAUAACUGACGCUGAGGAGCGAAAGCGUGGGUAGCAAACAGGAUUAGAUACCCCUGUAGUC